rnacentral:lncRNA from 1 species
AAAGUGCUGGGAUUACAGUUGUGAGCCACUGCGUCUGGCCUAGGCAUCGAUUCUCAUAAGGAGUGUGCAGCCUAGAUCCCUUGCACACACAGUUCACAAUGGGGUUCAUGCUCCUCUGAGAAUGUAGUGCCACCUCUGUUCAAACAGGAGGCGGAGCACAGGUGGUAAUGCUUGCUCACCUGCUGAUCACCUCCUGCUGUGUAGCCCAGUUCCUAACAGGCCACUGACUGGAACUGGCCCACUCAGGAGUUGAGGACUCCUGUACCCAAAGGUGGUUUGGAAGGAAUUCAUUCUAAUGCCUCUUAUAUUAUUUCUUUCUCUGAUAAUAAAGUUGCUGACAAUAAAAUAUUAGUAAAAUUCAUUCAUUUCAUUAAGCUAGGCAUUGUUAUUUUGUGGGAUUUUGUGUAAAGUAAGAUGUGCAAUAAGGACUAUGCAUUUUGGGUAGAGCUUCUUGUAAACUUGAGUUUUUUGGUUUUGUUUUUUUUUUUUUUUAAGUCUCUUGGGGCCAACUUUAAAAUGGACUCUUAUCCAAUGACAAAGUCAAGACAUGCUGAAACUCACAAUCAGCAUCAGAACAGGCAAAGACCAAGUGAAGAGAUGUGUGAGAUUUUUUUCGAGCUGGCAAAAAGGUGACCCUAUCUAGGAGACACGGCUUUAAGGUCAGUAGAGUAUCAGUUCUCUUUUUCAAGACUGACACCAACUGAAUCUGACUCAUACUUAGUACUUUAAAAAAAAUAAAAAAUCAAAGGAUCUCCUUGAGCUCAGUAUCAAAAAAAGUAAUUUACUUUUCAUCACCAGGAGCUAAUUACCUGCGCUCUGGACUCCAUACUGUUUGUUUCUCCUUUCCCUCUUCUCACUGGCUUCUCGAACUGUGCAUAAGUCUCUAUUCAAUAACACCUUCACUAGCUUGUAGAGAGUCAUCAUUAGAAAAUAUAGUAUUUCUAAUCGCUUUUGCUUAAUCAGGAGUCACUUCAACCAACAGGGCUCACCGAAAAGUAGAAACUCUGGGGCUUAGGAAUUGUCUGUGGAUUUCAAUUGCUGAUGCUUUUUCUAGCUUUCCUCACAGUAAAAUUUUAUUCAUCAAGGUUAUGAGAAUACAGAAUGUAAGAAAUUGACAGAUGAAAGGGACCUAGUCUGCCCGCUGACUAACUGAGAUCCUUGAUAGGUUAUCUAACCUCAAUGGACCUCUGACUUCUACGAUUACUUCUUGCUUUAAGAGGCCAUAAAAACCUGCCGGGCGCAGUGACUCACGCCUGUAAUCCCAGCACUUUGGGAGGCCAAGGCAGGCGGAUCACGAGUUCAGGAGAUUGAGACUAUCCUGACCAACAUGGUGAAACUCCGUCUCUACUAAAAAUACAAAAAUUAGCUGGGCGUGGUGUAAUCCCAGCUACUCGGGAGGCUGAGGCAGGAGAAUUGCUUGAACCCAGAGACGGAGGUUGCAAUGAGCCGAGACUGCGCCACUGCACUCCAGCCUGGUGACAGGGCGAAACUCCAUCUUGAGAAAAAACAAAACAAAAAACCAAUGACUAUACAGAUGUAUUCCAGGGUUUCUCAAAAUGUGUACCUCAGAACACUAAGUGAGUCAGCAGGUGCUAGUAGGUGACACAAGAAGAAAAGAUUUCAGGGCUAAGCAUUUUGAGAAAUGCUGCUAUCAGUUGUUUAGACGGUGCAGCUUCUCUGACAUCAGUGUGCAGAGGCGCAGCUGUGAGUCUCCACGGCAAGGUGUGGCACACGGCUUUCCCCACACUCCAGUCUGAUGCAUAAGUGCAUCUUAUGGGGCUUAUGUCCUGCAGACUGUAUGGUAGGAAACUGAUUUAAUCUAAACCUUUUUUUUUUUUUUUUUUUUUUUUUGAGACGGAGUCUUACUCUGUCGCCCAGGCUGGAGUGCAGUGGUGAGAUCUCGGCUCACUGCAGCCUAAGCCUCACGGGUUCCAGAGAUUCUCCUGCCUCAGCCUCCGGAGUAGCUGGGACUACAGGCGCCCACCACCACGCCUGGCUAAUUUUUUGUAUUUUUAGUAGAGACGAGAUUUCACCAUAUUGGCCAGGCUGGUCUCGAACUCCUGACUUCAGGUGAUCCACCCGCCUCGGCCUCCUAAAGUGCUGGGAUUACAGACGUGAGCCACCGCACUCGGUCCUUAUUUUUAUUUUUUAUUUAUUUAUUUAUUUAUUUAUUUUUGAGACAGG